rnacentral:antisense_RNA from 1 species
GCCCUCCUGACCGCCGCGGCUAGAGGUUCCAUUGCAGACCCGGAGGCCGUGGCUGUGGUUCGCGGCGGUGCUGUCGCGGGCGCCCUGGCGCAGCCCACGCAGGGGCUCCUGAGGGUCCGCGAGGCCGGGAGGUCCGGGGGUCGGGAGGUCCUGGGGUCGGGAAGUCGGUGGACCCUGCAGGCCAGUGGGGAGGGGAGACAUAAGACAUCAGUCAGUACAUGUGAGGUGUGCAUUGGAUUGAUCCAGAAAGUCAGGACGACUCCAAGCGGAAAGGUCUCCAGAGACAGGAGACAGUAAAAGAAAUGGCCUCUCUCCUCCGUCAGAGUGGAGUCCCGAGCUCCCAGAAAUGCCACGUGAUGGACAAACGCUUGGGGGAAAAAAAAAAA